rnacentral:lncRNA from 1 species
AAGCAACACGUUCGUUCCUUUCCAUCACGGUUAAGCGGAGUCGGCGGGGAAAGCUGGGGCGCUCCCGGGAACCCGGCCCCGACGGCUCCGAGCGUCUCUCCGCGACCGCCGCGCCUGACUGACCCGGAUCCAAACCCCGCAGAUAGGGUGGCCCGCGCACUAGAGUCGUACUGCGCCUGCGCAACCUGGGCUCGCGCCCCGCCCACCGCUCACGCUCCUCCCACCUCGGUGACUCGGCAACACGGCCAGAGGUAACUGCGCAAGCGCACGGUGGCAGCCCCGCCUCUCGAAGCUCCUACUCCAACCCCUCUCCGAAGCACGUGCGUCUUAAGUCAUUUCCUGUUAUUCUUUUCGCUCCCUCCGCCCCCUGGCUUGGGUUCGCUCCCGGCAGGCUUUAGGGCGUGCCUACUUCCUCUUCCUCUACUAUCACGUGAAUUGGCGGCUUGUCUUGCAACUGUAGAACCAUCGCUGCUCCCGAGGCAUAAUCGGCCUCCUUCUUGUCCUCUUGAAGUCACCAAGCCAACGGCAUUCGGUGGGCUGCGGGAGCGUUUGCGCCACCCGAUGCCUCCAAGAAUGCUCGGCAGAGUUUCCUACUUGCAACCAAGGGUGCUUGCACUCGGUCCACCACCCUCGUCUCUUUGGGUCCGCAGAGAAGCCAAGAAGGUAUUACUUGGACUAGGCCCAGGCAGUGGAUGCUAGCCCGGAAUUGGAAUGGAAAUUAGGUUUUAUGGUUUUUGCUUUUUUAAAAACAGGAUCCCAUUUGUUAGGCCAGCCUGAAACUCACGUUGUUACCCCUGUCUCAGGCUCCCGUGCCUUCUGUUUUGAUAACUGGAAGCAACUGUUUGCCUCUCAGGACUCCCGUUAUUUUGUCUGGAAAUUAAAAGGGUUUCAGCGAA